rnacentral:rRNA from 1 species
GUGGUAAUACCGGAUGCUCCGCUCCAUCGCAUGGUGGGGUGGGAAAUGCUUUUGCGGCAUGGGAUGGGGUCGCGUCCUAUCAGCUUGUUGGCGGGGUGAUGGCCCACCAAGGCGUUGACGGGUAGCCGGCCUGAGAGGGUGACCGGCCACAUUGGGACUGAGAUACGGCCCAGACUCCUACGGGAGGCAGCAGUGGGGAAUAUUGCACAAUGGGCGCAAGCCUGAUGCAGCGACGCCGCGUGCGGGAUGGAGGCCUUCGGGUUGUAAACCGCUUUUGUUCAAGGGCAAGGCACGGUUUCGGCCGUGUUGAGUGGAUUGUUCGAAUAAGCACCGGCUAACUACGUGCCAGCAGCCGCGGUAAUACGUAGGGUGCGAGCGUUAUCCGGAUUUAUUGGGCGUAAAGGGCUCGUAGGCGGUUCGUCGCGUCCGGUGUGAAAGUCCAUCGCCUAACGGUGGAUCUGCGCCGGGUACGGGCGGGCUGGAGUGCGGUAGGGGAGACUGGAAUUCCCGGUGUAACGGUGGAAUGUGUAGAUAUCGGAAAAGAAACA